GAGCGAACGGACGAGAAGCUUGCUUCUCUGAUGAUAGCGGCGGACGGGUGAGUAACACGUGGAUAACCUACCUAUAAGACUGGGAUAACUUCGGGAAACCGGAGCUAAUACCGGAUAAUAUUUUGAACCGCAUGGUUCAAAAGUGAAAGACGGUCUUGCUGUCACUUAUAGAUGGAUCCGCGCUGCAUUAGCUAGUUGGUAAGGUAACGGCUUACCAAGGCAACGAUGCAUAGCCGACCUGAGAGGGUGAUCGGCCACACUGGAACUGAGACACGGUCCAGACUCCUACGGGAGGCAGCAGUAGGGAAUCUUCCGCAAUGGGCGAAAGCCUGACGGAGCAACGCCGCGUGAGUGAUGAAGGUCUUCGGAUCGUAAAACUCUGUUAUUAGGGAAGAACAUAUGUGUAAGUAACUGUGCACAUCUUGACGGUACCUAAUCAGAAAGCCACGGCUAACUACGUGCCAGCAGCCGCGGUAAUACGUAGGUGGCAAGCGUUAUCCGGAAUUAUUGGGCGUAAAGCGCGCGUAGGCGGUUUUUUAAGUCUGAUGUGAAAGCCCACGGCUCAACCGUGGAGGGUCAUUGGAAACUGGAAAACUUGAGUGCAGAAGAGGAAAGUGGAAUUCCAUGUGUAGCAGUGAAAUGCGCAGAGAUAUGGAGGAUCACCAGUGGCGAAGGCGACUUUCUG
rnacentral:rRNA from 1 species